rnacentral:rRNA from 1 species
AACGAACGCUGGCGGCAGGCCUAACACAUGCAAGUCGAACGCCCGUAGCAAUACGGGAGUGGCGGACGGGUGAGUAACGCGUGGGAACGUACCCUGAGGUACGGAAUAACCGAGGGAAACUUCGGCUAAUACCGUAUGAGCCCCGCAAGGGGGAAAGAUUUAUCGCCUUGGGAGCGGCCCGCGUCGGAUUAGCUAGUUGGUGGGGUAACGGCCUACCAAGGCUUCGAUCCGUAGCUGGUCUGAGAGGACGAUCAGCCACACUGGGACUGAGACACGGCCCAGACUCCUACGGGAGGCAGCAGUGGGAAUCUUGCGCAAUGGGGGCAACCCUGACGCAGCCAUGCCGCGUGAACGAUGAAGGCCCUUAGGGUUGUAAAGUUCUUUUACCCGUGACGAUGAUGACGGUAACGGGGGAAUAAGCUCCGGCUAACUUCGUG